GAUGAACGCUGGCGGCGUGCCUAACACAUGCAAGUCGAGCGAACGGACGAGAAGUUUGUUUCUCACACGUUAGCGGAGCACGGGUGUGUAACAUGUGGAAAACCUCCCUAUAUGCCUGGGAUAACUGCGGGAAACCGGAGCUAAUACCAGAUAAUAGCUCCAACCGCAUGGUUCAAAAGGGAAUUUCGGUCUUGCUGUCACUUGUAGAUGGACCCCCGCUGCAUUAGCUAGUUGGUAAGGUAACGGCUUACCAAGGCCACGAUGGAUAGCCGACCUGAGCGAGGGAUCGGCGACACGAGAGCGGAGACACGGACCAUACUCCUAAGGGAGGCAGCAGAAGGGAAUGUUCGGCAAUGGGCGAAAGCCUGACGGAGUAACGCCGCGUGAGAUAUGGAGGUCUUCGGAUCGUAAAAAUCUGCUUUUAGGUGAGAACAUCUGUGUACGUAGAUGUACACAUCUUGACGGUAGCUAAUCAGAAAGCCACGGCUAACUACGUG
rnacentral:rRNA from 1 species